CACUGUGUUUAGUUUUUUUUAAAUUGCUAUUGUGUUUUACAGCCUGUUUUCUUUUCUUUUGAUAGAAAAUUGAAAAUCUGAAGGAGACCACUUGUAGCAUGGUAGAGUCCAUCAAGCACUGUAUUGUACUGCUGCAAAUCGCCAAGGACCAAAGUAACGAACAGCAACACGCAAACGGACUUAUAGUAAGUUUGACAUUCUCUGUCCAUGACAAGAAUUUAAAUCAAACAAACUGCUAACUUUCUUUUCCUGCUUAAUAUACUCUCCACUGUAGAACAUCAGAUAAAUCAGAUCUCUUUUGUGCAUGUUGUCUAAUUUGGAGUUAAACUCUAUCUCAAGCUCUUUCCCUCAUGUCUGCCACUGCUGU